CCUACGGGAGGCAGCAGUGGGGGAUAUUGCACAAUGGGGGAAACCCUGAUGCAGCGACGCCGCGUGUGGGAAGACGGUCCUCUGGAUUGUAAACUACUGUCCCCAGGGACGAAGAUGACGGUACCUGGGGAGGAAGCUCCGGCUAACUACGUGCCAGCAGCCGCGGUAAUACGUAGGGAGCGAGCGUUGUCCGGAUUUACUGGGGGAAAAGGGAGCGUAGGCGGGGAUGCAAGUUGGGUGUCAAAACUACCGGCUCAACUGGGAGGCGCACUCGAAACUGCAGCUCUUGAGUGAAGUAGAGGCAGGCGGAAUUCCUAGUGUAGCGGUGAAAUGCGUAGAUAUUAGGAGGAACACCAGUGGCGAAGGCGGCCUGCUGGGCUUUUACUGACGCUGAGGCUCGAAAGUGUGGGGAGCAAACAGGAUUAGAUACCCCUGUAGUC
rnacentral:rRNA from 1 species